rnacentral:rRNA from 1 species
UACGGGGGGAGCAAGCGUUGUUCGGAUUUACUGGGCGUAAAGCGUGCGCAGGCGGUUGUGCAAGACAGAUGUGAAAUCCCCGGGCUCAACCUGGGAAUUGCAUUUGUGACUGCACGGCUAGAGUGUGUCAGAGGGGGGUAGAAUUCCACGUGUAGCAGUGAAAUGCGUAGAGAUGUGGAGGAAUACCGAUGGCGAAGGCAGCCCCCUGGGAUAACACUGACGCUCAUGCACGAAAGCGUGGGGAGCAAACAGG